GCUGAUUUCAUAAUCUUGUGAUAGAUUGUGUCCAUAGUUUGAGAAACACCAGCUUACACCCAGCAUAAUCAACUGCCUGGAGGAUAUUGGCUCUGAACAAAAUCAAGGUUUCAGUAACACAGAAAAGAAGGGGAGGAGACCUCAGGUAGACAUCUGAGCCAACAUCAGUCCUUGAAGGCUGGGCAGGUGUGCACACGUGAACGGGUGUGAACACGUGAGCCCCAGGAGAGCAACAGGUAUACCACAAGGAGGACAGCCUUAUCUCAGGUUUUUAACUGAGGAGCCUGAGGUCCAGGAAGACCAGGUGAACCCCCUAAGGUCACGCAGCAGGCAGUGGAGAUGAGAACUGAACCCAGUUUGCUGACACCAGGGGCCGACAGAAAGCUCAUCGGUAGCCUUGAAAAAUAACUGUCUGCAUUCCUGGUACUGGAUGGAGCAGAACAAAGCUGGAAUUCUUUCAAAACUUCGUUUCCAAAGAAUGAGCAUCAUUUGACGUGUCUAGUAGUUCCCUGGAAGACCCACUCAGAAAACAUGUCUUCAUUUCAACAGACUCAAAGUCCCCUCCAUAAAGAAGUCUCCCUCUAGGAUGGCCAUAAUAAAAAUAAAUACGUUUUAAAAUAACAAGUAUUGGCAGGGAUGUGGAGAAAUUGGAACCCUCACACAUGGCUGGUGGGAAGUGAAAAAUAGUGCAGACUCUAUGGAAAAAUUUAGCACUUUUCCAAAAUGUUAAAUAAUGUUACUAAGUGAGACAGCCAUUCUCUUGGAUACAUUCCCAAAGGAAGUGAAAACAGACCUCCACAUGAGAAUUUGUACAUGAAUCCUCAUAGCAGCAGGAUUCAUAGUAGCCGGAAAGUGGAAACGAGCAAUUGUCCAUCAACGUUAAACGGAGGAACACAACUCCACACAAUGCAAUAUUGUUUGGCUACAGAAGGAAAAGCACUGACUCUAACUGCAGCGUGGAAGAACCUUACAAACGUGCUGACUGAAAGAAACCAGGCACAAGGACUGCAUGUUGUAGGAUUCCAUUUACACAAAACGGGUGAAUCCAUAGAAAC
ensembl:lncRNA